rnacentral:rRNA from 1 species
CUACGGGACGCUGCAGUGGGGAAUAUUGGACAAUGGGCGCAAGCCUGAUCCAGCAAUGCCGCGUGAGUGAAGACGGCCUUAGGGUUGUAAAACUCUUUCGCUAGGGAAGAUAAUGACUGUACCUAGUAAAGAAGUCCCGGCUAACUCCGUGCCAGCAGCCGCGGUAAUACGGAGGGGACUAGCGUUGUUCGGAAUUACUGGGCGUAAAGAGUUCGUAGGCGGACUGACAAGUUAGAGGUGAAAUCCCAGGGCUCAACCCUGGAACUGCCUUUAAAACUGUCAGUCUAGAGACCGGAAGAGGUUAGGGGAAUACCUAGUGUAGAGGUGAAAUUCGUAGAUAUUAGGUGGAACACCAGUGGCGAAGGCGCCUAACUGGUCCGGUACUGACGCUGAGGAACGAAAGCGUGGGGAGCAAACAGGAUUAGAUACCCGGGUAGUC